GGCUUUAGCUAUACCACCCUGAACGCGCCCGAUCUCGUUUGAUCUCGGAAGCUAAGCAGGGUCGGGCCUGGUUAGUACUUGGAUGGGAGAUAACUUUAAUUAAAGGUAGCUUGGGGCG
rnacentral:rRNA from 1 species